CCUGCUCAUUCCACGAACACUUGUGAACGCAUAGUAGCUCCAUCGCAAGUUGUUGAUAUGUUUUUUAUACACUCCAAUAACAACAUCUGAAUGUUCUUGUUGCUCUAAUGCAAUUAAAUACAACUUUCAACAACGGAUCUUUUGGCUCUCGCAUCGAUGAAGAACGCAGCGAAAUGCGAUAAGUAAUGUGAAUUGCAGAAUUCAGUGAAUCAUAGAAUCUUUGACCGCAUCUUGCGCUCCUUGGUAUUCCGAGGAGCAUCCCUGUUUGAGUGUCAUGAAUAUCUCAAGCCCUCUGAUCUUAAUGGUCAAGCAUGUCUUUGGACUUGGGAUCAUUGCUGGCGAAAGCCUGCUAUCCUUAAAUGUAUUAGCUGGAUUAUUUCCUUGUGCCACCCAGUGUGAUAAUAUCUACAUUGCUGUGGAUCACGGCGAGUGCUUACCCUGUUCAUUCAGAGUUGUAACCUCGAUAAAAGAUAGUCUGCUUCCAAUGGUCUAGGUGCAUGGACAAAAUAGCCUUUGACAUCUGACCUCAAAUCAGGUAGGACUACCCGC
rnacentral:rRNA from 1 species